UACGUAGGGUGCGAGCGUUAAUCGGAAUUACUGGGCGUAAAGCGUGCGCAGGCGGUGAUGUAAGACAGUUGUGAAAGCCCCGGGCUCAACCUGGGAAUGGCAAUGGAAACUGGCGGGCUGGAGUAUGGCAGAGGGGGGUGGAAUUCCGCGUGUAGCAGUGAAAUGCGUAGAGAUGCGGAGGAACACCGAUGGCGAAGGCAGCCCCCUGGGCCAAUACUGACGCUGAGGCGCGAAAGCGUGGGGAGCGAACAGG
rnacentral:rRNA from 1 species